UGAGAAGUUGCUCCUUAUGAGUAAUUUUAGUUAAGCAUGAAGAAAAUAUCUUUGGACGGAAUUUCUUCAUGCUUUUAUUAUAUCA
rnacentral:antisense_RNA from 1 species